CACGUGAGUACGAGUUUGAUCAGUGGCUACGAGGACGAACGCUGGCGGCGUGCCUAACACAUGCAAGUCGAACGGGGCAGAGAGCUUCGGUUUUCUGCUUAGUGGCGAACGGGUGAGUAACGCGUGAGGAACCUGCCUUUCAGUGGGGGACAACAGUUGGAAACGACUGCUAAUACCGCAUAACAUAUCGAGAUCGCAUGAUAUUGAUAUCAAAGGAGCAAUCCGCUUGAAGAUGGACUCGCGUCUGAUUAGCUAGUUGGUGGGGUAACGGCCCACCAAGGCGACGAUCAGUAGCCGGACUGAGAGGUUGAACGGCCACAUUGGAACUGAGAUACGGUCCAGACUCCUACGGGAGGCAGCAGUGGGGAAUAUUGGGCAAUGGGCGAAAGCCUGACCCAGCGACGCCGCGUGAGGGAAGAAGGUCUUCGGAUUGUAAACCUUUGUAGACAGGGAAGAAGAAAGUGACGGUACCUGUAAAGUAAGCCACGGCUAACUACGUG
rnacentral:rRNA from 1 species